rnacentral:sRNA from 1 species
CAUUAGCCCCGAUUGAAGUGGAAAUUAUUUUAUCAGCCGCGGCGGAUAAAAUAAUUGCAACGAAAAGCGGGAACUAUU